rnacentral:rRNA from 1 species
UGAAUACGAGAUGCUACGGCAUCGAAGCAGUCUAUGUCACACUUCCAAGAAAAGCUUGCACUGUCAUAAACAAAUAAUGCCUGUACCAUAACCGACACAGGUGGGUAGGUAGAGUAUACUAAGGGGCGCGAGAUAACUCUCUCUAAGGAACUCGGCAAAAUGACUCCGUAACUUCGGGAGAAGGAGUGCCUUAUUUUUAUAAGGUUGCAAUAACAAGAUCCAAGCAACUGUUUACCAAAAACACAGGUCUCCGCUAAGUCGUAAGACGAUGUAUGGGGGCUGACGCCUGCCCAGUGCCAGAAGGUUAAAGAAGUUGGUUAGCAUUAGCGAAGCUGAUAACUGAAGCCCUGGUGAACGGCGGCCGUAACAAUAACGGUCCUAAGGUAGCGAAAUUCCUUGUCGGUAAGUUCCGACCCGCACGAAAGGCGUAAUGAUUUGGAUACUGUCUCGGAGAGGGGCUCGGUGAAAUAGACUUGUCUGUGAAGGUGCGGACUACCUGCACCUGGACAGAAAGACCCUAUGAAGCUUUACUGUAACUUGAGAUUGAAAUUGGACUUUAUCUGCGCAGUAUAGGUGGGAGACGUUGAAAAUAUUCUUGCGGGAAUAUUCGAGUCAUCAGUGAGAUACCACUCUUAUAAUGUUAGAUUUCUAACUUUGUAUCAUUAUCUGGUCAAAGAACAGUCUCAGGCGGGCAGUUUGACUGGGGCGGUCGCCUCCUAAACGGUAACGGAGGCGCACAAAGGUUUCCUCUGAACGUGUAGAAAUCGUAUCUAGAGUGUAAAGGCAUAAGGAAGCUUGACUGUGAGACCUACAAGUCGAGCAGGGACGAAAGUCGGUCUUAGUGAUCUGACGGUGCUGAGUGGAAAGGCCGUCACUCAACGGAUAAAAGUUACUCUAGGAUAACAGGCUGAUCUCCCCCAAGAGUUCACAUCGACGGGGAGGUUUGGCACCUCGAUGUCGGCUCAUCGCAUCCUGGGGCGGUAGUACGUCCCAAGGGUUGGGCUGUUCGCCCAUGAAAGCGGUACGCGAGCUGGGUUCAGAACGUCGUGAGACAGUUCGGUCCAUAUCCGGUGUAGGCGUUAGAAUAUUGAGAGGAGCCUUCUUUAGUACGAGAGGACCGAGAAGGACAUACCUCUGGUGUACCAGUUAUCGUGCCAACGGUAAACGCUGGGUAGCUAUGUAUGGAGAGGAUAACCGCUGAAAGCAUCUAAGUGGGAAGCCCACCUCAAGAUAAGUAUUCUCGU